rnacentral:sRNA from 1 species
UGCCUUAUUCACCCACCCUUUGUCUACGUGUACCUCUAUAGCUUCCUCGGCGGGCUCGCCCGCCGCCAGGAACCCACGAAACCCCUUGCAUUAUACACGAAAACUUCUGAUAACAAACCUAAAUUAUCACAACUUUCAACAAUGGAUCUCUUGGUUCUGGCAUCGAUGAAGAACGCAGCGAAAUGCGAUAAGUAGUGUGAAUUGCAGAAUUCAGUGAAUCAUCGAAUCUUUGAACGCACAUUGCGGCCAUAGGUAUUCCUUUGGCCAUGCCUGUUCGAGCGUCAUUUACACCCUCAAGCCUAGCUUGGUGUUGGGCGUCUGUCCCGCCGUUUUCGCGCGCGGACUCGCCUCAAAGUCAUUGGCGGCGGUCGUGCCGGCUCCUCGCGCAGCACAUUUGCGCUUCUCGGAGGCCCGGCGGAUCCGCGCUCCAGCAAAGACCUCGGCGAGUGAAGCGGCAACAGCUCAAAUUUGAAAUCUGGCCCCUUCGGGGCCCGAGUUGUAAUUUGCAGAGGGUGCUUUGGCGUUGGCGGCGGUCUAAGUUCCUUGGAACAGGACAUCGCAGAGGGUGAGAAUCCCGUAUGUGGUCGCCUGCCUUCGCCGUGUAAAGCCCCUUCGACGAGUCGAGUUGUUUGGGAAUGCAGCUCUAAAUGGGAGGUAAAUUUCUUCUAAAGCUAAAUACCGGCCAGAGACCGAUAGCGCACAAGUAGAGUGAUCGAAAGAUGAAAAGCACUUUGGAAAGAGAGUCAAACAGCACGUGAAAUUGUUGAAAGGGAAGCGCUUGCAGCCAGACUUGCCUGUAGUUGCUCACCCGGGCUCCUGCCCGGGGCACUCUUCUGCAGGCAGGCCAGCAUCAGUUUGGGCGGUUGGAUAAAGGGCUCUGACACGUACUUCCCCUCGGGGUUGACAUACAGGGGAGCCGCAAUGCGACCAGCCCGGACUGAGGUCCGCGCAUCUGCUAGGAUGCUGGCGUAAUGGCUGUAAGCGGCCCGUCUUGAAACACGGACCAAGGAGUCUAACAUCUAUGCGAGUGUUUGGGUGUCAAGCCCGAGCGCGUAAUGAAAGUGAACGGAGGUGGGAACCCCUCGGGGUGCACCAUCGACCGAUCCUGAUGUCUUCGGAUGGAUUUGAGUAAGAGCAUA